rnacentral:rRNA from 1 species
GACGAACGCUGGCGGCGUGCUUAACACAUGCAAGUCGAACGGAACGGCCCUGCUUUUGUGGGGUGCUCGAGUGGCGAACUGGUGAGUAACACGUGAGUAACCUGCCCUUGCCUUUGGGAUAACUUCAGGAAACUGGGGCUCAUACCGGAUAGGAGCUCCUGCUUCUUGGUGGGGGUUGGAAAGUUUCGGCGGUUGGUGAUGGACUCGCGGCGUAUCAGCUUGGUGGUGGGGUAGUGGCUUACCAAGGCAUUGACGGGUAGCCGGGCUGAGAGGGUGACCGGCCACGUUGGGACUGAGAUACGGCCCAGACUACUACGGGAGGCAGCAGUGGAGAGUAGUGCACAAUGCGCGGAAGCCUGAUGCAGCCACGCCGCGCGCGGGAUGAGGGGAAUCGGGUAGUGUAGCGCAGUCGCCUUUGACGAAGCGUGAGUGACGGUAAUGGGUAAAGAAGCACCGGCUAACUACGUG